rnacentral:rRNA from 1 species
GAUCCUGGCUCAGGAUGAACGCUAGCUACAGGCUUAACACAUGCAAGUCGAGGGGCAGCAUGGUCUUAGCUUGCUAAGGCCGAUGGCGACCGGCGCACGGGUGAGUAACACGUAUCCAACCUGCCGUCUACGUCUUGGACAGCCUUCUGAAAGGAAGAUUAAUACAAGAUGGCAUCGUGAGUUCACAUGUUCACAUGAUUAAAGGUAUUCCGGUAGACGAUGGGAUGCG